rnacentral:rRNA from 1 species
UGGGGAAUAUUGGACAAUGGGGGCAACCCUGAUCCAGCCAUGCCGCGUGAGUGAAGAAGGCCUUAGGGUUGUAAAGCUCUUUCGGCGGGGACGAUGAUGACGGUACCCGCAGAAGAAGCCCCGGCUAACUCCGUGCCAGCAGCCGCGGUAAUACGGAGGGGGCGAGCGUUGUUCGGAAUUACUGGGCGUAAAGCGCACGUAGGCGGCGCAUCGAGUUAGGGGUGAAAGGCCUGGGCUUAACCUGGGAACUGCCUUUAAUACUGAUGCGCUGGAGUCCGGGAGGGGGUGGCGGAAUUCCCAGUGUAGAGGUGAAAUUCGUAGAUAUUGGGAAGAACACCGGUGGCGAAGGCGGCCACCUGGCCCGGAACUGACGCUGAGGUGCGAAAGCGUGGGGAGCAAA